GCCGCUGAGUUUCCGCGGCGCUAGUGGUACAGCGGCACCCGACUUUAACGUAGUUGGUUAUAUUUUGAAGAUGAGCCCCAAAAACAAUAAAUGUUUCGCACCAAACUGUAGAAGUGGCUACAAAAGUAAUAACGAAAAAUGUAGUUUCUUUCGUGCCCCUAAAGAUCCAGAAUUAUUAAAGAAAUGGCAACAUAAUAUUCCCCGGGCUGAUAGGCAAUUGUCAGUUUGAGAUGUUUUAUGUGAGAAACAUUUCACAUCGGAUUGUAUCUUGAGAGAAUGGCAAUCAGGCUCGGUAGUGAUUCCGUAUGUUAAUCCAAAAUUGAAACAUAACUCGGUACCCACAAUUUUUCCCAAUUGCCCCAGCUACCUAACAAAAAUUAAAAAAAACAAACGGAAACUACCGACACGAACUUUAGUAAACA